GAUGAACGCUGGCGGCGUGCCUAAUACAUGCAAGUCGAGCGAACAGACGAGGAGCUUGCUCCUCUGAUGUUAGCGGCGGACGGGUGAGUAACACGUGGAUAACCUACCUAUAAGACUGGGAUAACUUCGGGAAACCGGAGCUAAUACCGGAUAACAUGUUGAACCGCAUGGUUCAACAGUGAAAGACGGUCUUGCUGUCACUUAUAGAUGGAUCCGCGCCGCAUUAGCUAGUUGGUAAGGUAACGGCUUACCAAGGCAACGAUGCGUAGCCGACCUGAGAGGGUGAUCGGCCACACUGGAACUGAGACACGGUCAAGACUCCUACGGGAGGCAGCAGUAGGGAAUCUUACGCAAUGGGCGAAAGCCUGACGGAGCAACGCCGAGUGAGUGAAGAAGGUCUUCGGAUCGUAAAACUCUGUUAUUAGGGAAGAACAAAUGUGUAAGUAACUAUGCACGUCUUGACGGUAACUAAUCAGAAAGCCACGGCUAACUACGUG
rnacentral:rRNA from 1 species